rnacentral:lncRNA from 1 species
AUGUUGGUUUCCUACCCUCCCUCCUCCAAGUCUACACGUUGGGUAGUGCUGUGCCUGAGCCAAUCAACAGCAUCAGCAUUGGGCCAGCCCAGGCCAGCUAGAGCCAGUGAAACUCGGGGAGAACUUUCACUUCUUAGACCUCAGUUUGUCCCCCGUGCCUGCGAGAGCCAGGGCUGGGGCUGGGGCCAUCGUCUUGCAACAACAGGUUCUGGAGGAGCCGCGGGACCUUGGACUGCUCGCCGCUUCUCUGAGCCUGGAGUUGCCAACCGCCCUGCAGCGCGGAGAGGGAGGCCACAGCAUCGGGGAGACAGCAGCACGGGCUGGGCUGGGCUCCCUGAUCCAGGGGGUUCUCUGGGAGCCGUGGGCCCUACUGGGAGCGAUCCUGUGACCAGCCGCCUCGCCUCGCCGCCUUUGUUUUUGGAACACGGACCCCCUGCCCUGCGAAGGCCACCUGUGGCCAGCUUCCGGGUCUGGUUUCUCGAAGUCUCCAUUCUUUGGAAGCCGCUUCCGGCAUAGAAGCCAGUCCUCUAGG